rnacentral:lncRNA from 1 species
CAAGAGUGGAGCAAGGGCAGGAAGUCUCUGGAGAUGCACAUUUCUUCUUGUCUCCAGCCCCUCUCAGAAAAUGAGCCUUAUGUUGGUGACUGCCUUGGAUGGGAGAGAGGAACAUCUGGAAUUUACCAGGCUCCGUGGCAAGUCUCUCCCUAUCUUCAAACGCAAGUAUUGGCUCAGUUCAUCCCUAAGGGUCUUUCCAACUCUAGCAUGCUGAGAUGCUGUGACUGGUUCUGCUGCCAUGCUCCAUGCUGGCGUGGGCAGGAGGUGGCCCUGCUUUUCUCAAGAGUGACUGUAGCUGGAAAGGAAAUUUGCGAGUGAAGAUAUGAACCUCGGAAUGAAUCCCAAGCUUGAGAAGAGAGAAUACGCCUGUUCCUCACACUGGCAUCAGACGCAGGUCAAAAAUGAGCCUGAGUAGCUCCUGUUUGGUGAGAUAAAAUCCUGUCUUGGAAGGCAGGGAGAAGGGGACAAGCAGACCAUGGUGACAACAGGAACAGGCGCUGGCAGCUUCGGCCACUGCAGCCAGACACCCGUUUUCACCCCCGGGUCUCCUCCAGCAGUUGUCUCCUCAGUGCCUGUCCUCUGCGCGUAUUUCAGGCAGCAAAGAUGUUGCCCAGUUCGUCUUGGCAGCAGCGCUACAAGUUUGUCAGUCCAGCACCAUGAUCCUGUUUCACAAAUGGAGAAACUGAGAGUCAAUGCAAUUACAGGUUUCCCCCGUUACCUGAAAGUUUGCUUUACACUGCUUUGUUUUACGAAAAACCCACGUUGGUAUCUGCUUUCACAAAGAAAUUGAAGAGGGGUUUUGCUUUUACAAAAAAAGGUGAAAAGUGGAAACAGCCUUCAGCCUUUGUUUUGCAGCGAGUUGCU